rnacentral:lncRNA from 1 species
GGUUUCCAUGGCGACGCAUUCAUCCUCACAGCGGAAUUUGUGCCUCGGGAGCUGAGCCUCACACGCGGCGCCUUCUCAGCGGUGCCGGGACCUUCGUUCCUGCAAUGAUGUGCUGCCCUGAGCGGCUCAGGAGGUUUCCUUCUCGACUCUCAGGCUUAGUCUUGGAUCUAAGGUGAGCUCCCAGCUGAAAGGCUUUGCGAGGACGCCCAGGACUCCGACUUGCUGACGCGCAUACAUUACCCACCCCACCUGUCACCCCGCGCCUGUCACCCUGCACCGCCUCUUCUCCGCUGCAGACUGGUGGGGUGUGAACAAAGUGCUCUCGCGACCCGUGUGGCCAGGAGGUCGCUGCCCUCCCUGGCCAUUUCCUGCGACCUUGGGCCCCUGGGCCUGGGCCCUCCAGCCCCCUGUUCCUAGACAGGGCUCUAGUCUGGGAUGCAGCGCGUAGGCUGGCUCUGCUGAGUGUCCGCUGGUCUGCCGGCCUCUGCUUUGCGGGAAGGCCUCUGCUCACAGACUCUGCUCAGACUCAGAGUCCCCAGGUCUGAGGCCGAAGGGCUGGGUCGGCCUGCUGCUGGAACCCCCCAGGGCCCACGCGUCCACAAAGGCCUGUGCCUGACCCGGCCAGUGCCCCAAGGCUCUGCAGAGGCUGGGAAGGCCACGGGGCCCUCCUGGCUGGAGGCGAGAAGACACCUGCCCGCUUUCUCCUGCGGCUGCCCCGCCGGCCCUCCACUGCCUGCCCAGCAUGCAGGCCAGCCUUGGGCUUCUGCAGGCCGGGCUACAACCAUGGCCACCGCUCACCGCUGCAGCCCCUGAGUCCUUCCCAGCCUCAUCUGCAGACUCUGCCCUCGCCCUGUCCCACCCACACCUGCUGAUGUGUCCCUGCCAUACUGGGGGUCCUGGGAGCCCCUCCGAGAGCACUCGUGGAGGCACGGUGGCCUCAGGAGUUCCGGCUGGACACACAUGGCUGUGUCCGCCCCGUGUCCAGCACCUGGGUGGGGCUGGUGUCCUUGUGGGGCCCGCAGGUUUCAGUGAGGCCUCAGAGGCUCCACUCUGGCCUUGGGGAGGCUCUAAGCCAGGCCCCAGGCUUCCCUGUGGGUUCUUGGUGGCUCCCGUCACCUGAGCAGAGGGGUCCCCGUGGAGCAGAGCAGCCACCUGGGGCUUACCUGACCUCCUUGCCCGAGACCCUGGCUGAGAGGCCGCAAGGGCCAUGGGCCUGGCUCUGGACACACCAAGGAGCCCAGCAUAGGCGUGGGGGCCUGUGACCCUUCGCUCAUAUCUGUUCCCAGAUGCCUCCUGAGGCUGGAGCAAUACAAGACCCACCGCAGCUCAGACCUGCAGCCUCUCCAGGUGGGGCCUGGCGGGAGGGCAAACCUGGGCCAUCUCAGGCCCUGCAGAGCUGAGGCCACCAGCCAUGGAAGGACCCGUGGGGCUGCCAUCUCUCUAACUUCGUGCCUUAAUGUUGUGAUGCCUGUGUCUCGGGCGCUGGAGGCAGAGCCCGGCCUGCUUUCAGCUCUGCGCUCCUGGGGGCUGGUUGUUCCAUGAAGAGGCCCCUUGGGCCCUGCCUCCCUUUAGCGCUGCCCUGGACCCCGCUGGGCACCCCAUCCCGCCAGGCCUGCUGCUCCUUGUAUGGCAGCGCCAGGCUGGGGUCUCCCACUGGGAGGCGGGGCCCCCCCCAAGGCAAGCCAAGCACUGUAUCUUCCUGAUUCACCUGCCCCGUGGGUCGCAGAGCCCAUGCCGAGACCCACGGGGACUGACUAGUGUCACCCACAGACCCCCGGUGACGCAGGAGCUUCUUGGAGUGGGAGCAGGGAUCUCACUCUGCCAAGGUCAGGCUGAGGAAGCCGGGGGCCCCCAGCACAGUCCCUGUGUCCCAGGAGAGGGGACUGUCUCUCACCAUUCCGGGAAGAAGGGGGACAGUGAUGGGGGCGGGCAGCCAGGAAUGCAGGUUCAACCAGCCCCUCGAACCUGGGGCUCCGGACACUGGCGCCCCGAGGGCCCAGGACGCAUGGCCCUCACAGACUGCACCUCUGAUCCCGCUGCAGACAGGGGACGAGAACCGUGGUCCUCCCUGGCCAGGCCUCCCUGGAGACCUCGCUCAGGCCUACCUGCCUGCAUGCUAUGCAGCCCGGGCAGCUGCGGUGCCCGCGGUGGCUCAUGCCGACCAGCAGCCGUGGGGCCCACAUCUCUGCUUCUCUCCGCUGGAUUGUGUGCCCCCCGGGGGCAGGCGGGCCGGUCACUCCGCCUGGAGCGAGUUCUCACCCCACAGCACGGGCCCUCCCGGGAUGGACGGCACAGGGCCUCCCUCCACGAGGCUGCGGAUGACCAGAUGACCGCUGUGGCUGGGAGUGAGCCAGGCGUCUGGAGAGGGAGGCCAGCCUUGGCUGACCUUGGCUGACGAGAGAGGGAGGCUGACCUUGGAGUCACUGCCUGGCUUCCUCCUGCCACCUGCUGGUGGGCCAGGGCACUCAGGCCGCUGGUCCUGGGGGAGCGGAGGCCAAGACACUGGGCGCGGCUGACAGGAGGGGAGCAGCUCUGGCGGCCUGUGGGGUGAGGACCCAGGACACAGGUGCGGCGCCUCGGCCUGCAGCACCAGGGAGAGCUGGGCCCUGACCCCCAUUCCCUGCUCCCAACCCUGAGCCCCCCGGAAACACAGGGCAUGGAAUCCCUCAUCCAAACGCCCCUGCCAGGCCGUGGCAGGUCGCAGAGUCUCCAUCACCAGAAAGGUCCAGAGCAUUUGUUUCAGAGGCUGCACCCCUGGCUCCGUCCAGACGCGGGGGCCCAGGGUGCUGGUGGCCUCUGCCUUGGGGCAGCAGAGGCUCCCACUGUUACCUGGUGGCCUCGUGGCGGUCAUGGCCCCGGGCAGGAGUGGAGGUCCUGUCUGCAGGCAAGACCCGGGUGCGGGGGCUGUGGCCACAGGGCCUCCUCCAUCCAUUGGCCAAGGUCCAGGGACAGGACAGCUCCUUGCUCAUCCCGCCCAGAGCUCUGAGGGCCUGGGGUUGGGGGGCGCAGCAGGAACCAGCGCAGGCCUGCCAGCUUCAGCCGCGUGCCCACCUUGUUCAGCACCCCUGUGCCUGAAGCACAAACCUGAUGCCUGCUCACCCACACGGCUCCCCAGCACAGCCCAGCACCCCCGGUGGCAGCCACCCUGGAUGCUCGCAGGACCUUCGGCCGUGCACCGCGGACGGGACCUGCUGGGGCCUCACAGUCGAGGUGAACGCAGGGGCCCUGGCAAGCGGCUCCAGAGGGCAGUGGUACGUCCACGGCAGUGCGGGAAGUGAAGCAGGUGCUGCAGGAAGCUUGCUCGGGUUCAGUCAUGGUCCUACCAGCCGCCACGCACGUCAGGGCUGGGCCCGCUUGCCAGCUAAAGUCAGAAACCAGGACACAGACAGUGAUUUCUGAAUAACUUGGAAUAAUCUUGCUAUAAUUUAGUGUGCACGCUUAUGCAGGCAAUGUCUUAAGAGGAAAAUGAUUCGGUUCCCAUCAAAAUCUGCAUUUAAAUGAAGACAUCAGCCGCGGGCCCUCGGUGCUGGAGUCUGCCCUCCAGGUGACACCGAGGUCAUGACGGCUGCAGCGGCUGCUUCCGCACGGCCUCCUCGUGGCGGGGUGUCUGGGGGAGGUCCUGCCUCCAGCCCCCCGCCAGGCUCAGCGCUAAGAGAGCAGCGUGUGUCCUCCCCGGUGUCACCUGGGGAGACCCCCACUAACGACGGGGUGGUCAUCAUUAAGGGGCCGGGCUCUCGCCUGCCCAGAGGAGAAGGUGGCUCUAGGGUGGAGUCCCGCCGUUCCCCACGGCAGCCACGGGGCCACGCAGCCCACGCGACCCACGCAGAGGCAGCGCAGGGUCACAGGACUGCGUGAGAUGCACCAGGUGGCCCGAGCCCUCCCUGCAGCAGGGCACACGCACGGCCUGCACCCCAGGUCCCACCCCAGUGGUGGCCGGGGCUUCCAGACCCUUCUCCCCCCAGCUCAGGGCCGCAGAGAUCAGAGUCCUGACUGCACUCCUGGUAAUUGAACAAAAAUACACACAAGACCUUUAAAAAAUUAAUUCAAGUUUUCUUCCUUGAUUUGGACUCAAUUUGCUAAAACCAUUUUCAUUUGAAGAGGCCCUCUCUUCUCAUCAAAAAAGCAAAACCAAGAAAAAAAAGGCUAAAUCUGUCUGUGUGACGUGAAUACAUCUGUGAGGCGGGCAGUGCGCCCAGCUGGCAGGAUGGGGGCAUCGUGUGGGGGGUGGGGGGAGGCUCGCACCACAGCCGGGGUCUCUGCAGUCUUGUGUUCGCACGGAGCAGGUUUAAUUACUGCCCAUGUAACUGAAGUUUUGGAGCAGAUUCAAUCCAGCGCUCACAGCGGUUCUGAAGCCAUCUAGCCGCUCGGCGGCAGCGCUUGUAGAACCCGGUGAGGGACCAUUUCCUUGGCCGGAUCCAGGACCACCAGGCAGAGAGCGGCCACGACGCAGUCAGUGUGCCGGCCACGGGCUCGAGGUGCUGUCCAUGCAGCCUCACGCGUGCACGCUCACCCUCCCAGGACUGGUGCCAGCACGGGACACAGCAGGUGACAGGACGGGUGAUGAGGUCGCUGCACCUUAUCCAACCUCCCUGCCCGCCAAGUGCCCUCUCACCUCAGUACACCUGCCUGGACGGCUGGGCGGGGCUGCCCAGCAGAGGAAAUAGCUGCGGGUCUGGGACGUGGCUGUGGCCCCGAGGGGCCACGUCCUCCAGUUACGUCGUUUUGACACUUGCAAGACCACUGGUUUGGGAGAACGUGUGGACAUUUUUUUUAUUAUUAUUCAACAGAGGAGAGCAAAUUUCUUCUGCUCAGGGGGUGGUGACCCCCACUUGGGGCCAUCCAAGGGGUGACGAGUUUCCAGGGAACCUGCUGUUGGAAACGCCACCUGAAUGGGUCAGAGCAGGAGGAGGCCGACUUAAGGUCUUGCUCCUCGAGCUGCCAGUGGCCGCGGGCAGUGCUCGGAGGAGGGGGCUUCAGAGAGAGGCAGAGGUUCCGCGUGACGUAUCGACCAUCACGGCAGCACAGCUCUGGAGACAGAUGCCUCCGCGGCCACAGCCACAGACAGGACGUCCCCAUGGGCUGUGAUGCUUUUGCCUGGCAUGAAUAUUUUCAUGAAAAUACUCUCCACU